rnacentral:lncRNA from 1 species
CUUUGAGUCUGGCUUGGGUGGAGUCCUUGCCUAGAAUCCUCCAGUGAGGGCUGGGACUUAGGGACAGUUGAGUGUCUCAAGUCAAAGGUCCUAGGAGCUGUGAUCCCACUGCAGUGGGAAGCAAUAGCUCUUUCCCUUGCUAUAACCAGACAUGGAACCUGAAGUGACAACCCCAUUUUGUGCUCCUGAAGGUCAAACCUGUUACCCAGCCUUAUCACUGGGAUGUGGAGUUUCAUUUCAGUUGUUUCUCAGUUUGGAGCUACAAGAUGUGAAGUGCUGUCUUCUGCCUCCCAUACCACCCAGCACAGCCUGAACAAAGAAUUGAAGAGUUCCACUCAUCACCUAGGAUCCUCUGACGCUUCAGAUGAGGGCAGGCUUGUAGAUCACUGAGCAGCCCACAAGGACAGUGUCCACUCCAAAGGGCCUUCAUGGUGAGCAAGGCCCAUCUUGAAGGGUACAAGAGUCCCCAAGACAGCAUAGACAACAAGAGCAUGUGGAAGAGGCCCAGGUAUGUGAGGAGUGGGAUCAAGGGCUUCUCAUCCAGACUGUAGCCAUCUGAUUGGGCAG